UGUGACAACAAUCUCUUAUGUUUAUACAGCUUUGUGACCCGUUACUGGUUAUCAACGGACCACAAGUUUCUGCUGUACCCACCAUGUACUACAUCAGAAGGCAAUUUGAAUUCUGCGUGUUGGGGGGAAAAAACAUUUGAAAGAUUCCACCACCCAUUCAAUACUUGGCUGGAAUACGAUGUUCAUAAUAUUAUGAAUCCAGAGAACAAGCCUGUGAAUUUUACGAGAGCUUACCUACUUUUACGAGAGGAAAACGUGAAGACAGCAGUCCGCCUACAGUUGUUACGGCAAUCAGAACAAGUUCCGUCAUCAACAUUAUUCAAAGUAGCAACAGUGGCGAACCAAGGGCCCAACUUUUGAAGCGCCAGUACCUAGUACUAUUUACGAGGCAGAACUGCAGUCCAAAAUUGAUGCUUUGGAGAAGAACAUAAAGAAAUUCAAAAAACCCACUGAAUAACUUACAAAUUUUUGGUUUAAAUGUCCUAAAAGAUGUUUUUUCUGUGUUCUCGCCAUGCCGUGUUGGCCACAUUGCGCCUUUCUAGUCUUUGUGCCCUGUUGUUAUGUUGCCAGAACGAACUGGAUUAU